rnacentral:rRNA from 1 species
GAUGAACGCUAGCGGGAGGCCUAACACAUGCAAGCCGAGCGGUAUUGUUUCUUCGGAGAUGAGAGAGCGGCGUACGGGUGCGGAACACGUGUGCAACCUGCCUUUAUCUAGGGGAUAGCCUUUCGAAAGGAAGAUUAAUACUCCAUAAUAUAUUGAACGGCAUCGUUUAAUAUUGAAAGCUCCGGCGGAUAGAGAUGGGCACGCGCAAGAUUAGCUAGUUGGUGAGGUAACGGCUCACCAAGGCGAUGAUCUUUAGGGGGCCUGAGAGGGUGAUCCCCCACACUGGUACUGAGACACGGACCAGACUCCUACGGGAGGCAGCAGUGAGGAAUAUUGGUCAAUGGGUGCAAGCCUGAACCAGCCAUCCCGCGUGAAGGACGACUGCCCUAUGGGUUGUAAACUUCUUUUGUAUAGGGAUAAACCUACCCUCGUGAGGGUAGCUGAAGGUACUAUACGAAUAAGCACCGGCUAACUCCGUGCCAGCAGCCGCAGUAAAAC